rnacentral:rRNA from 1 species
UGAACGCUGGCGGCGUGCCUAACACAUGCAAGUUGAGCGGUAAGGCCCCUUCGGGGGUACACGAGCAGCGAACGGGUGAGUAUCGCGUGGGUAAUCUACCUAGAGGUGGGGGAUAGCCUCGGGAAACCGAGGGUAAUACCGCAUGAGUCCUCAACGGCAUAAGUCGAUGAGGGGAAAGGCGGGGCUCCUUCGGGACCUGUCGCCUCUGGAUGAGCCCGCGUCCGAUUAGCUAGUUGGUGGGGUAAUGGCCUACCAAGGCAACGAUCGGUAGCCGGCCUGAGAGGGUGAACGGCCACAUUGGGACUGAGACACGGCCCAGACUCCUACGGGAGGCAGCAGUGGGGAAUUUUGGGCAAUGGGGGAAACCCUGACCCAGCGACGCCGCGUGGAGGAUGACGGCCUUCGGGUUGUAAACUCCUGUCAGGUGGGAAGAAAAGCCUGUCGGAUAAUACCCGGCAGGAAUUGACGGUACCACCAAAGGAAGCCCCGGCUAACUCC